AAAUUGAAGAGUUUGAUCAUGGCUCAGAUUGAACGCUGGCGGCAGGCCUAACACAUGCAAGUCGAACGGUAACAGGAAGCAGCUUGCUGCUUCGCUGACGAGUGGCGGACGGGUGAGUAAUGUCUGGGAAACUGCCUGAUGGAGGGGGAUAACUACUGGAAACGGUGGCUAAUACCGCAUAACGUCGCAAGACCAAAGAGGGGGACCUUCGGGCCUCUUGCCAUCAGAUGUGCCCAGAUGGGAUUAGCUUGUUGGUGAGGUAACGGCUCACCAAGGCGACGAUCCCUAGCUGGUCUGAGAGGAUGACCAGCCACACUGGAACUGAGACACGGUCCAGACUCCUACGGGAGGCAGCAGUGGGGAAUAUUGCACAAUGGGCGCAAGCCUGAUGCAGCCAUGCCGCGUGUAUGAAGAAGGCCUUCGGGUUGUAAAGUACUUUCAGCGGGGAGGAAGGUGUUGCGGUUAA
rnacentral:rRNA from 2 species